rnacentral:piRNA from 1 species
UGAGAUGUGAAAGGAGCCACCAGUCUG